rnacentral:rRNA from 1 species
UACGUAGGUGGCAAGCGUUGUCCGGAGUUAUUGGGCGUAAAGCGCGCGCAGGCGGUGCGGUAAGUCUAUAGUGAAAGCGCUCGGCUUAACUGGGCGAGGGCCGUGGAGACUGCCGGACUGGAGGGGAGCAGAGGCGAGUGGAAUUCCGGGUGUAGUGGUGAAAUGCGUAGAGAUCCGGAGGAACACCAGUGGCGAAGGCGGACUCGGCUGGGCUCGAACCUGACGCUGAGGCGCGGAAAGCGUGGGGAGCGAACCGGG